rnacentral:misc_RNA from 1 species
UCCGACUUAGAGCCGGCAGUCUCUCAAGAAAAAUACAACUUGAGAUAUGGGUUGCGCUCGUUUACGGACUUAACCGAACACCUCAAGGCACGAGCUGACGACAACCAUGCAACACCUGUCACCGGGUUCCUUGCGGCACAUUCACCUUUCGGUAAACUUCCCGGGAUGUCAAGCCUUGGUAAGGUUCUUCGCUUGUUGUCGAAUUAAACCAGAUGCUCCACCGCUUGUGUGGGUCCCCGUCUAUUCCUUUGAGUUUUAAUCUUGCGAUCGUACUACCCAGGCGGAACACUUAAUGCGUUAGCUUCGUCACUGAAGGGGUCGAAUCCUCCAACAACUAGUGUUCAUCGUUUAGGGCGUGGACUAC